GCAGCCCUCACUGUAAAGUAAUAUCUCCCAAUGUCCAGCCUGAACCUUCUCUCUAACAAUUUGUGGCCAUUAUUCCUAGAUCUUUCAGUGUAGGUG